rnacentral:rRNA from 1 species
GACGAACGCUGGCGGCGUGCUUAACACAUGCAAGUCGAACGGAAAGGCCCUGCUUUUGUGGGGUGCUCGAGUGGCGAACGGGUGAGUAACACGUGAGUAACCUGCCCUUGACUUUGGGAUAACUUCAGGAAACUGGGGCUAAUACCGGGUAGGAGCUCCUGCUGCAUGGUGGGGGUUGGAAAGUUUCGGCGGUUGGGGAAGGACUCGCGGCUUAUCAGCUUGUUGGUGGGGUAGUGGCUUACCAAGGCUUUGACGGGUAGCCGGCCUGAGAGGGUGACCGGCCACAUUGGGACUGAGAUACGGCCCAGACUCCUACGGGAGGCAGCAGUGGGGAAUAUUGCACAAUGGGCGGAAGCCUGAUGCAGCAACGCCGCGUGCGGGAUGACGGCCUUCGGGUUGUAAACCGCUUUCGCCUGUGACGAAGCGUGAGUGACGGUAAUGGGUAAAGAAGCACCGGCUAACUACGUG